rnacentral:rRNA from 1 species
GACGAACCGUGCGAACGUUGUUCGGAAUCACUGGGCUUAAAGGGCGCGUAGGCGGCUCGCGAGGUCGGGGGUGAAAUCCCACGGCUUAACCGUGGAAGGGCCUUCGAUACCGGCGGGCUGGAGGAAGGUAGGGGUGCGCGGAACUUCUGGUGGAGCGGUGAAAUGCGUUGAUAUCAGAAGGAACGCCGGCGGCGAAAGCGGCGCACUGGACCUUUUCUGACGCUGAGGCGCGAAAGCUAGGGGAGCAAACGGG